UACGUAGGUGGCAAGCGUUGUCCGGAUUUACUGGGCGUAAAGGGCGUGCAGGCGGUUUGUUAAGUGCAGGGUGAAAGCUCCCGGCUCAACUGGGAGAGGUCCUUGCAUACUGGCAAACUCGAGGGAGGCAGAGGAAAGUGGAAUUCCCGGUGUAGUGGUGAAAUGCGCAGAUAUCAGGAGGAACACCCGGUGGCGAAGGCGGGUCUCUGGGCCGUAACUGACGCUGAGGAGCGAAAGCAUGGGAGCGAACAGG
rnacentral:rRNA from 1 species